CCAGCAGCUGCGUUAAUUCCAGCUCCAAUAGCGUAUAUUAAAGUUGUUGCAGUUAAAAAGCUCGUAGUUUGAUUUCUGGUAGGUUGCCAAUGUCCGCCGCCGUGCGUGCGCAGCGGCGCCCUUCCAUCCUUCUGUUAACGCUUCAUGGCAUUCAUUUGCUGGUAGCGGGCUCAGAUAUUUUACCUUGAGAAAAUUAGAGUGUUUCAGGCAGGCUAGGCCGGAAUACAUUAGCAUGGAAUAAUGGAAUAGGACUACGGUCUCUUUGUUGGUUUGAGGGACUGCAGUAAUGAUUAAUAGGGAGAGUUGGGGGCAUUAGUAUUUAAUUGUCAGAGGUGAAAUUCUAGGAUUUGUUAAAGACUAACUUAUGAGAAAGCAUUUGCCAAGGAUGUUUUCA
rnacentral:rRNA from 1 species